UAAAACCUUUUUAUCUUAUCUUUUCUGCUUAUUGACAGAGCCAGGCUAGCUGUUUCCCCAUUUCCAGUCUUUAUGCUAUGCUAACAGGCUGCGGAUUCUAUAUUUAGCAUGCAUGGAUCAAUCUUUUCAUCUAACUCUGCAAUAAAGUGUAAAAGCGAACUUCCCAAAUGUAUAAACUAUUAAUUGAAAAGACAUUUUAGGAAAAGUCGGGAUAUCUCAUCCUUGGCUGCAAAGAUUGGACCCAGUCUUUUUCAAAUCUGUCUCUUCUGAAUUUUCCAACUUCAUAGGAUUCUUGGUGGGAGCAAUGCUAAUUUGCUGGAGUACCCCUUUUGAAAUAGAUUUGUAAAUAAAUAUCACACUGACUUUAAUUUCAGCAUCUUUACUUCUAAUCUAAAUAAAAAAAAUCUUUGAUCUAGAGAGAAUUUUAAAGAUGAGAUGAUAAAUACACUGCUUUAAAAAAUACUGUUUUUGUAACUUUUGUUGUCUACAGAAACAAUAUAGUUAAGUAUAAGAGACACAGAGAGGAUUUACCUGUUUUAAGAAAGAGAGAGCAACUCUCAAGUGAGCAACUGUGAUGUCAUCUUAAGUCCCAUACGUAUGCUGAGCUGUAUCCUGCCCAGACAGAGGCAGACUGAGAGGAAAACACACCGGGCUGCUGAGAGGAUAUGAUGCACAUACUGAGAAUUCUUGAAGACCUGCGAGCCCAUGCACUGAACAAUUCAGGCAUAUACAUUACACCUUAUUUGACAGCCAUGCUUCAUGAAGUUGAAGAGAGGAUAACUAACAUGAGACAGGAAGCAAUUCAUUUAUCAGCGCUCUACUAUGAGUAGGCCCUUUGGUGAUCCUGCACCCAGCUAAAGCAAAAAUCAAUGUGCUGCAAUAUCAUCAGAGGAGGAAACCACCAGAUGAGUUGUGUCGUGGACUGAAAGACUGUAGCACUCACAUUGAGCAUAUCUCUCUCAGUGGAAGCUCAGCUUUUAUGCAAAAGCAGCCACUGUAAAUAUUUACAUACCAUGUCUGGCAGCUCAUAGAGACGGAGAACACCUUGAAAUAAGACUGGUUAUAACAUUUUACCUCAUAAUAACCCUGCAGGCCCUGCAGGCAGGGCUGAAUGUUAUACUGUUGUGGUUUCUUGGUUGCUGAAAACAAGAAAGAACUUGAUCAGUAGCUGCACUCUUUGUUUUGUGGUACUUUGUUCUGCGCCUCCCUUUCCCUGCUUGUCCACUCCCCCCCUCACUUCAAGCCUUUUAUAGAAGAAAACCCAUGUUACAAGGAAAUACUUACUCACAGGAAUUUGCAUUUACUAGGUCUGUGUUUUAAACACCAGUCAUACUGUAAAACUGACUCUUUGCCUACAUAGUAUAAAGGUAUAAAAUAUUUAUUCAGUACGCAUAUAUUUUACUAAACUUGCCAAUAUAUUGCCAUUUAUGUGUUUGCAAAAUAUAAUGAUCUGAAAUCUCUUGCUCUUAAAAUCUAUGGACAAUAUGUGAUCAUGUUUUUUUAUGAAACAGCAAUAAUUGGAAAUAUAUUUUACAGCACAUUACAAAUAUACUGGAUUGUUAAAUGUAGUUCAAUAUAUUAGAUCUGGGUAUAUGUAAAUAUAUUUCUGUUGCAUAAGUUGCAGGUUUGUAUAUACGUACAUAUGUGUAUUAGUGAUGAUGUUGCUUCUUGCCCUCACCUGUAAAAUACAAAAUAAAUUAGAGAAGCUGGUGAA